UAGGGAAUCUUCGGCAAUGGACGAAAGUCUGACCGAGCAACGCCGCGUGAGUGAAGAAGGUUUUCGGAUCGAAAACUCUGUUGUUAGAGAAGAACAAGGACGUUAGUAACUGAACGUCCCCUGACGGUAUCUAACCAGAAAGCCACGGCUAACUACGUGCCAGCAGCCGCGGUAAUACGUAGGUGGCAAGCGUUGUCCGGAUUUAUUGGGCGUAAAGCGAGCGCAGGCGGUUUCUUAAGUCUGAUGUGAAAGCCCCCGGUUCAACCGGGGAGGGUCAUUGGAAACUGGGAGACUUGAGCGCAGAAGAGGAGAGUGGAAGUCAAUGUGUAGCGGUGAAAUGCGUAGAUAGAUGGGGGAACACCAGUGGCGAAGGCGGCGCUCUGGUCUGUCACUGCCGCUGAGGCUCGAAAGCGUGGGGAGCAAACAGG
rnacentral:rRNA from 1 species